UACGUAGGUGGCAAGCGUUAUCCGGAUUUAUUGGGUUUAAAGGGUGCGCAGGCGGAAGAUCAAGUCAGCGGUAAAAUCGUGGAGCUCAACUCCAUCCAGCCGUUGAAACUGAUGAUCUUGAGUGGGCGAGAAGUAUGCGGAAUGCGUGGUGUAGCGGUGAAAUGCAUAGAUAUCACGCAGAACUCCGAUUGCGAAGGCAGCAUACCGGCGCCCGACUGACGCUGAAGCACGAAAGCGUGGGUAUCGAACAGG
rnacentral:rRNA from 1 species